UGAAACAUAUUCAUGUCUGGGAUCUGAGGGGUCUAAAUAUUUUCACAGCCCUCUUUUUGGCUUGAUAGUUUACUUGGAGGGCUCUGUAUGUGUGUGCUGUCUUAGUGCAGGGGUAUCAAAGUAACAUCACAGCGACAUCACAUGACGUAUCAAGGACUUUCCCCCCCCAUCACUAAAUGGCGUGGGCGUGGCCAGCACAUGAUGCAUCUGGCUCACGGACUGGGAGUUUGAGAGUAUGAUUGUCUUAGUAUGAUUUCUCUACUUGAAACUCUAUUGGUGACUAAUAAGUUUCUUCCAUGUACCAUACGCUUUUAAAUUAAAUUGCACUACAGUCACUGUUUCCACAUAACACUGCACAUCAGAAGCUCUCAGAGCUAAACCACUGGCCACUUUGUACAUUGGGGUGGGACGAGGAGGAUACACAAUUUCUUGAAAGAGUACCAUUGUUUUACAAAGUAUUCCACAGGGAAUAUUUAUUUGCAUUCUGUCCCAAAUUUCCCUACUCUUCAAAUGUUGGUAUGACGAUUAACACAGCUUUAAUGCCCUUAAAUUUUUUUAAGCUUCAUCUUGAUGUGUUGAGUUGAAUGUCUUCUUUGGUAUCUUUUUAUGCAUGAAGCAUUCACCCAUAAGCUUUUCCCAGCUGGAAUCUGAAAUUUAUGGAGUCCAUAAAAAAGCUUACUUCCUUUCCUUAAAUUUGUGUAAACUAAAGCCAGGUCUUAAUUCAUGGAGUGAGGGGCUCAGGGGUCUUUGUGAGAUAUCUAGAACUAUAGUUCAAAAAUACCAGAAGAUCUACAGGUUUCCAAUUCCUGACAUGAAGAAUACUUUACUAAUACUAAACAUUGCAUAUUUUAUUCAUAUGUAUAAUACAUAUAUAAUUUUGCUUAAUGAAUAAAUAAAGGCAUUUGUGUUUGCACCAAAAGAUAAAGACAUUCAGCCUGACAAUGAAAAAAAGAAAUAGAAAAAUCUCCAGCAAGUUAGCAACCAAGAUGGCAGAAAACUGUUUCCUCUGUCAUAUCAAGCAGCUCAUUUUUUUGGUUGUUUUUUCCCCUUUCCAUCUUUUCUCUAGCACUAUUUUACAAAUAUUGAUAGCCUGCCUUAGAAUAAAAUGCUCAUUGGGACAAGCCACAUAGAGAUUUGUUGAAACGUCACCAAGAAGCUUCAUUCUAAAGAUGUGACUCAUUCAAUCACUAGCUUUCCAGUUUUGUUUUUAAGCUUUAUACAAUUCACAAAUGCAUUCUUUCCCCCUCUGACUUUCUGGGGCUUUGUCUGAGAACCAAGAUGUUAAGAUUUUUCAUAAGUAACUGCAGCAAUUUAAGGAAUUUAACCAUCAGCCAAGUCUAUAUUGGUCAUAAUAAAGAGGUACCUCAAGACCAUUGUGGGAUUCUGUUCUCAAAUCUCAAGUACAGUUCCAAGCUGAACUAUUUCACCUUCAUUAUUACCAGCCUCAACACAGAAUGGUACUAAGUUUCAUAAGUUCUCCCUCCCACUGAUCAAAGGAGUGCCCCCAAAAUUUAAGACCAGUAAUUUCCUGUCCUUCAACUAUCUUAAUUCAGGAUGAGGGGUCAUUAAUUGAAAAGGUAGUAUCCCUGUACAUUAAUUGAAAAGGUAGUAUCCCUGGGAAAAUGUGAAUGGGAAGUUGACUUAAAUUCUGUGCAGAGAAGACACAGUCCAGAAGCAAGGAUGAAAUAGGGAUCUGGAGAUUCUCGGUCAUCCAGGUCUAGUUGCCUUUUGAAAAAACAUCUUGGGACAAAGAUGAAACGGGUUUUCAAUAAACAGCUUCUCUUCAUCUGAACGUUGCAGAACUCAGGCAAUUUGAAUUACAAAUGCGAUUCAUUGAUUCCAGACAUCCUAUGUCUGAA